CGGUGAAGCCCAGCUUGCUGGGUGGAUCAGUGGCGAACGGGUGAGUAACACGUGAGCAACCUGCCCUCCACUUCGGGAUAAGCCUUGGAAACGAGGUCUAAUACCGGAUACGAGCACUUACCGCAUGGUGGGUGUUGGAAAGUUUUUCGGUGGGGGAUGGGCUCGCGGCCUAUCAGCUUGUUGGUGGGGUAAUGGCCUACCAAGGCGUCGACGGGUAGCCGGCCUGAGAGGGCGACCGGCCACACUGGGACUGAGACACGGCCCAGACUCCUACGGGAGGCAGCAGUGGGGAAUAUUGCACAAUGGGCGAAAGCCUGAUGCAGCGACGCCACGUGAGGGAUGACGGCCUUCGGGUUGUAAACCUCUUUCAGCAGGGAAGAAGCGAAAGUGACGGUACCUGCAGAAGAAGCGCCGGCUAACUACGUGCCAGCAGCCGCGGUAAUACGUAGGGCGCAAGCGUUGUCCGGAAUUAUUGGGCGUAAAGAGCUCGUAGGCGGUCUGUCGCGUCUGGUGUGAAAUCCCAUGGCUCAACCAUGGGCUUGCAUCGGGUACGGGCAGACUAGAGUGCUGUAGGGGAGACUGGAAUUCCUGGUGUAGCGGUGGAAUGCGCAGAUAUCAGGAGGAACACCGAUGGCGAAGGCAGGUCUCUGGGCAGUUACUGACGCUGAGGAGCGAAAGCAUGGGGAGCGAACAGGAUUAGAUACCCUGGUAGUCCAUGCCGUAAACGUUGGGCACUAGGUGUGGGGCCAGUUCCACUGGUUCUGUGCCGCAGCUAACGCAUUAAGUGCCCCGCCUGGGGAGUACGGCCGCAAGGCUAAAACUCAAAGGAAUUGACGGGGGCCCGCACAAGCGGCGGAGCAUGCGGAUU
rnacentral:rRNA from 1 species